CAAGCAAGUAAGAUCCCUCAGAGACGAUGAGGUAGAUAGGUUCGGGGUGGAAGCGUGGCGACAUGUGCAGCUGACGAAUACUAAUCGAUCGAGGACUUAACCAAU
rnacentral:rRNA from 1 species